UUUUAGGGUAUUAGAAAUGUUAUUUUAAUUGCAGUGAUCGUUUCACAGUUGUAGACAUAUUUUUACAUGGAUAAAACCAUUUUAAGUAAUUACCAUACUUCCACUAUACUUUAAUAAGUUGUUUAAAAACAUUUAGGUGUUUGUUUUUAAUUUACUUUUAGGACCUACAGCAAAUGCUAUACAUCCAUCUCUAAGUAGUUCAAAGAAUGUUGCCAAAAAAUCAGUAACUUCAGUGGUUUGUCAACCAAAUGAAAAUAAUGGCACUGAACAAAAGAAAGCUGGGGUGAUAACUAAAAAUCCAAGUACUUUUGAUAAUA